rnacentral:lncRNA from 1 species
UGGACAGAAAAAGUCAUUUGUGAACCAUUAUGUUUUACUUUUAAAGUUCAAACAUGUUUCAAAAAUGAAACCUAUUAUCAUAGUCUUUGUAUUGGUUAGUUAUCCAAGCUGCAAAAGUACUUAUCAUUAGUUUUUUCCAGACAGUUAUUAUUUGCUCUGUUUUCAGGCUAUACAUUUCAUCUCAUGUAAUAUUUUUAUAAACUUUAGCAGUUUGCUCGGAUGGUUGAACUACAAGUUGUUGCUUAUUUUGUUUUUCAACUGUAGUGGCUCCUGCUGCAAGUUCAAUGACAUCUGGAAAGCUCACACCUUUGAAUAAAGAAAGCACCUUAUCGUGUCUGGAGGCUCUCUGCAGACUGUCACUUUCUGACUGCUUGGGAACUUGAUACCCUAAUUAGUACUCCUUUACUAGAGGUAAACAGUUAUGGAAAAUAUCCACAAUCUUCAACAGUUCUUCCUCUCAAUUGUCUGGGUCUCGUUCCAGAAAUUGCGUAUCUUCGUGCUGAAAACACUGGAAGUGUGCAGAUGAUUCUGAAAACAUGUAUUCUGGAGGAUGUGUAUAUACAGAUGCAAAUUAGAAUAAUCCAAUUGAUACUCCAUUAAAGGUUUUUAUCAAAUUCAUUUCAUCAUAUUAUUGUCUGCCUAAAUUAUGUAUGGAAAUUAAUACUCAGUAGAUUGUUAAAUACUGUUGACCAAACUGGAUUUCACAGGAAAUAUAUUUCUGAGAAAUGUUUUCCUGUUGGUUUUUUUCUUAUCUUAAAAACAAUGCUGGCACUCAGCAAAAAACAACAACAAAUACUACCAAAGAGAACACGGUGAAAAGAGAUGGCCCUGCCUCCCCAUCCUCCAGCCUUCUUCUUUCCCCUCAGAGGCACGGUUACCUGAUUCUUCUGGGGAAUUACAGAGGUAAUACUGGAAACAAGUAUCACGAGACAAGAGCUGUUGGAAUUUGGCCAAAAACGCCACGUAAGAAUUACUUGAGAAAAUCAAUACAGCCUGAAUGAAAGCAACAUUGGUAUACAACAAGUCUUUAAAAAUAAGUAAUUCUCUCACGGAGUAAAUCAUCUCUUCCAAAAUAAAAAGCAUAUGUGUACAUGCAAAAUAGUUUAAAAAGCUAACAAAACUAUCUUAACUAUAGGAAAAUGGCAAAUUUUAGUGAGUAAAAGAUUGUUUUUAAUUACAAAGUAAAAGAAAUUUAGAAUUUUUAAUUGUUUAAAGUUCACUUUUUAAUGGGAUAAAUAAAUGUUGAUCUGUGAAGCGUAGUUUAUGCUUGAAUGUUGUGCAUAAGUCAUUCUAGGAGUUAGAUGAUGGAAAAUGUGGUCAUUGUUUUGUGUUUUAUGUACUUACCAUUAUAAACAUAUAAAAUACUCUCAAAGAUCUGAAAGAGAACUAUUUCACAUACGAAGUUUUAGUUUUCUGUAAAUAGUCUGGUAUGUAUGAAGAUUUCUUCUGGAGUUAAUUCUCUUAAAUGCAGUGUUUCUUUAGAAUAAUCUGUGGUAGUGCAUAUAUGAUUGAGCUGUCACUAUGAACAUAAUUGAUGACCAUCUGUCUGCCUGAUGCAGCUCUUAUGAACAAUUUGCAGAGAUUAAAAGGGUGAUGGAAAUGGUGCUUUAGGAAUUGCUUUCUAAAGACACCAGAGGAUCGAAAAGAAACCUGGGGUUUCCAGUGCCCUCUGAAAUCAUUUUCACAUAAAACCCAGGUUUAGUAGGUAUAAGUGUUGUUUAAGUGCUCAGCUCUUGAAAAAAAAUAUUUAUGUGGCAUAAAGAGAUGAUUUGGUCAUGAAUCUUAAAUGAUCAAAUCAGAGUGUCUGUUCUAUACCUGUUUCAAAAGGAGAAAUGGAGAAUCUUUUACCUAUUCAGUAUUCCAUAUGUACUUCCAUUUAAGUACAUAGGCAAUAAAAGAAUAUAGAUAAAUACUCAUGAAAGUAAGAAGCUAAGAUGUGGCUGAAAGAAGCAUCAACUCUAUGGGUCAUAAAGCCUAUUGAGUUCCUAUAGUUGAGCCUCAGUCUUGGUUGUAAGCUGAAAAGCCAGUUAAACUUUUUUUGGGGAGGGGGGGUGGUAGAGCAACCCCCCUCCUCUGAUUCCUCAGGAAAAGAAGGACUUCCUAAUACUGUGCUCUGAAAGAAAUUCCUCAUGGGGGCUUCACAUAGGAAACACUGAAUAUAAAAUUAUUAAUAGUUCUCUAGCAGAUGGAGUUAUUUCCUGAAGUUAGCUUGUUAUAGUGGCUAUUUGUCAACAAUUUGAGACCUCAACACCAGCUCAACUAAGGUAACUCCAAGGUGUGGGUGCAAAGUAAGCAGCCUGGUCCAGAUGUGUAACCUUCUGAUGGCCAAGGAAUAAACUCCACACCUUUCAAAGAAGACCUCAUAAAAACCACAACAUUGUUAUGCUUUCCCUACUACAAAGUUCUUAUACCGAGGCUAUGACCCUCUUAACUUGCAGGUAUCAGUCCAGUUCAAUACUUUGAUGCCACAUUGUAAGUUUGGUUUCCUCCCAUAAAGCCCUCUAAAUAUAAGAAGGUAUUAUAUUAAUCAUAUUAUCAUACUGUGUCUCUCCUUUUCACAGAAAAAUUUCCCAGAACAAAAACAUCUAUAAUGAACAUACACAGUUAUUACCCAAGAAUUUAUCAAGUGAUUACUAUUUAUCAAGUGAUUAUCAAGAGUGCCCUG